GUUUUUGUUACUGAAAACAACAAAAAAAAACUCAUUGGCUAACUAUGAUUAGUGUCCUAGAUACAAAAUUUUCCCUUAGAUCCGCCGUCGCCCGCAACCAUUUCCAUGUCCACCUCGCAUUACACUCUUUAGAAAGAACUUGAGCUCUUAAACUUAAACACACAGAAAUAAGUGUCCCUUCUCACCAUAUUUAUUUAUUUUAUGGAAUGUUAAAUCAAUUAAUCAUCAAAAAGAGGUUAAAGAAAAUACAAGAAAAAAACACAGCCGAGUGUUGAAGAGGUGCUAAAAGAUAGAUUCAUGAACAAAAUAAUUGAGAUGACGUCAUGUACGUGACGAAAGCCAUCUCUGCAUGAAACCAUUUGGCUGUUGCUUCAGAGACUUGAUUCGAGAGAUAAGGGUCUUCUGUAAUAUAUGUGUUGUAAACGCUUCCGUCCAUUUCUCACUCUAAUCUCUCUACCAUCGGUGUCGCUCUCUCCUCGGCUAAGGUAGGUCACUCCGGUGAGUUGUCCGUGACCUUAGAUGUUUUCAUUGUAAUUCAAUCCCAUAAAAAUAUUGACUUUUCUUUCUUUUAUUUAGAGCUUACUUCAAAAAAUUCCUAACUAUAUAUAUAUAUAUAUCCGUCGUCCUUAACCUUAGAAUCACAACACCCUCUCCUCUUCAUAAUUCCCACUUGCUCAUUCAGCAACUCCUCAAAUCAAAAUGAAUCAGCCCGAGACUAAGUCCAAUGGCAACGGCGAAGAAAACAGAGAAUCAUCAGGGUACUUAUAUAUAUAUAUAUAUAUUUUCUUCUUUUAUACAUGCAUGUUUAUAGUUUAGUUGCGUUAAUUUCAUAAUGCAAUGUAUAUAUUGAUCUGGCGUUCAAUUCUUUCUUUAUAAUGAACUGUUUUGUCUACAGUUGUUCCACCUUUUGCCGUUAUAUGGGAAAGGCAUUUCUCUGUUUUUUCACGUGGUGUUCGUGAUGAUGAGACUGAUCGAAGUCGUUAACCAAACCAGAAAAAAACAACACGUUGUAGAAGAUCCGUCAAUACGAUCCUCAUCAAAAUAUAUGUGGUUUUUAUAAUCCGUUUGUAAACCAUAUAUAUAAGGGUACUCCCAUGUUGCAAGUUUUUUUUAUAUAAAAAGUUUAUUUGCUUCACUUGUUGAAAGUGAUCAAUGAUCUCAUUUGUAAUGUGUAUUUGUGUUUAAAAACUGUGUUUGAGACUUUGAUUGUUCUUUUUUUCAAUUGUCUUGCUUCCAAUCAAGAUUCAAUGAUCCUUGCGCAUGUGGAUCUAAUCGCCAUGCAGUAGUUAUG
rnacentral:lncRNA from 1 species